rnacentral:rRNA from 1 species
UACGAAGGGGGCUAGCGUUGUUCGGAUUUACUGGGCGUAAAGCGCACGUAGGCGGAUUGGUAAGUCGGGGGCGAAAUCCUGGAGCUCAACUUCAGAAUUGCCUUCGAUACUGGCUUUCUAGAGGCUGGAAGAGGUUAGUGGAAUUCCCAGUGUAGAGGUGAAAUUCGUAGAUAUUGGGAAGAACACCAGUGGCGAAGGCGGCUAACUGGUCCAGAUCUGACGCUGAGGUGCGAAAGCGUGGGGAGCAAACAGG